rnacentral:rRNA from 1 species
UACGUAGGGUGCGAGCGUUGUCCGGAAUUAUUGGGCGUAAAGGGCUCGUAGGCGGUUUUGUCGCGUCGGGAGUGAAAUCCACUGGCUUAACUGGUGGCUUGCUUUUCGAUACGGGCAGACUGGAGGUAUGCAGGGGGAGAACGGAAUUCCUGGUGUAGCGGUGAAAUGCGCAGAUAUCAGGAGGAACACCGGUGGCGAAGGCGGGUCUCUGGGCCGAUAUUGACGCUGAGGAGCGAAAGCGUGGGGAGCGAACAGG